UACGGGGGGGGGUAAGCGUUGUUCGGAAUUACUGGGCGUAAAGGGCUCGUAGGCGGCCAACUAAGUCAGACGUGAAAUCCUUCAGCUUAACUGGGGAACUGCGUCUGAUACUGGAUGGCUUGGAUUCGGGAGAGGGAUGUGGAAUUCCAGGUGUAGCGGUGAAAUGCGUAGAUAUCUGGAGGAACACCGGUGGCGAAGGCGGCAUCCUGGACCGAGAUUGACGCUGAUGCGCGAAAGCCAGGGGAGCAAACAGG
rnacentral:rRNA from 1 species